CCGCCGCUCCCGCAGCAGCCUGCUGAGAAGGCGAGCCUGGCGCGCGGGGGAGGGAUGGCGGAGGAGCACUAGGCUCCUCCCGCGGGGAGGGGGGCGCCCCAAUCUCUCCGCCUGCGCCGGGCUCGGCACCCCGCUGUCUGCACUCUUCCCCGGCACAGCGCCACCGCCCGCCCUCCCUCCCCGCCGGCCUCGGCAGCUAGCACGCGUGCUUCCGCCCCACUUGGGGCACGGGGGACCCUCCCGGGGCACCCCGCGCCUCACCUCGCCUCAGCACCACACUACUUACUCCCCUGCCCCGGCCCUAACUCGUCCGCGGCACCGCUUCGCUCGCAGCCCUUUCUCGGUCCGCGGCAGCCGCUCUGCCCCGCGCUUUCGUCCCGCACCCGGGCUGGGGAACCACUGUGCAGUCCGCCGGCCCGCCCCGAGCACGCGAGGCAGCCGGGCUCCCCGCUACGCGGCGGGGAGGAGCCGGGCUCUCAGCGAGGAGUGGGGACAGGCAGGACACUGUGGAGACCCCAGCGGGGGCGGAGCGGGGGGAUUAGUUAUGAAAGCCGCCCCCUCCUCAUCUGCAAAGGCGCGGGUCUCCCCACCACCCUCGCUUCGCUCCCACCUACGCAGCUUUCCCUCCUCCAGUUCUUUCUCCCGUCCUGCCUCCCCGCCUAAGCCGUCUUACUUCCACUUUCUCUAUGAGGUUGUAAAGUCAGGCUUUGUGUCGCUGCCGCUGCGCAGCGGGGCGGGAUUUCCCUCCCACCCCCCCACCCCAAGCCCCUCCCCCUGGCCCCCUCCUCCGCGCAUCUCCCAGAGCAUCCUGGGAGUUGUAGUCCAACCGUGCCCCCGUUCCGCCUCGUACUGCGGGCUGGGAGCUCCCCCACUCGCCCGGACGGGGUUUGCCCAAAGGGUUGAAGGAGGAAGCGGCUGAGACCGCUGCGCCGAACCGCGGUUCUCGGCUCCGGCUGGAUGUGGUGGCCCGGAGUGCUCCGUAGAUUCCCGCGGUGAGAAAUGUGAGGAGGAUAAAUGAGGCAAAGCCCUGAAUGCUGGGAGCCUUGCCUAGGACUCAAAAUUUAUGCUCCAGGAAACCCUCUACACUCUCGGCUCCUAGUUUGGAACUGGAAUUUGUGAAACUUCAAAAAUUAAAUAUAAAACCUGAAUCUCGAAUUGCCACGAGACCGGGCAUCCCAACCCCCACCUCAGCCGGUUUGCACCGCCCUGUUGGCUUGCCCCGAGGCUGCUGGAGAAGAACUUUCAGAUUCCUCUAUAAAAGUAAAGAUGAAAUAAGUAGAGAGUUGAGAAACAUUUACCCGAGCCUCCUGCCGCGCCACAUUCUCCUGCCAGUUUCGAGCUGGGUUCAGGGUCAAGCUACACCACAGGCCUCCCCUCAGGUCGUGAAGGGCCUUUGCUGCUGGGCACAGGCGCUUCUUUUCCUCUCUCGGGUUUAGAUUUAUUUCAACAAAUCUUUACUGGGCAUUUUCUUUGUACCAGGCACUGUGCGAGGGGCUGGACACGGCGACUACUUAAAAAAGACCUCCCCAACAGGGUGCUUGCAAUCUAAUGGGGGGUGGGGGGGAUAGCGACAGGCAAAAACCACGUUUGAAAGUAAUGACUGCUAGAGUAGAGACUCCCAAGUGCUGAGGGAAAUUCAGCAGAGCGAUACUGCAUCCCAAAAGGGGCUGGGGAAGCUUUCCUGAAGGCUCUGGAGAUUGAACUGGACCUUGCAACGUGGGAAGGUUGUAGAGGGUGUGACCGAAGGAGCCCAGUGGGCAAAGUCCAGGCCGAGGGAGAGGUCGGUGAGAGGUCGGUGAGAAGGCGCAGUGCAAGCUAAGAAAAAGAACACAUCGUCUUGGCAGACGCCCGGGAUGUGUGGGUGGGGCGGCCCAAAUGAACAUUAAAACCCAACAGGAUCUUCAGAAACACCCUCCGAAGUUCGAACUUGAUUCUGUGAGCAAUGAGUAGCCCAUCCCCAAUGAAGUGCCAAUGCAGGAGACUUAAGGCGCUGUCUGUGCCUCAUAGAUGGCACCUAAAUCUUCGUGGCUGAUGAAAUGUAGCUACCGCAGGUGUGUGCAGUAGUCGAAGGCUUUGUUAUGAUGCUGUCUCAGGGAUGCGACAAGGAGCCCUCCUGCUUAAGAUGGGAAAACAGAGCCUAGAGACAGAUGAAACUUGCUUUAGAGGAAGACGGACAAGUGGAUUUGACAGUACUAAUGGAAGGAGCUGCCAAGGAAGAAAAUUCCUUCCAAAAGCUUUCUGUGGCAACAACUGGAACCUAUUGAGAGUUCGUGCCAUGGUUUUCAUCUGGCUUCGCUGGUAAUCAUUGUUGGUGCCAUCCUCCAUGUCUCUGGGCUUGUGUCUCUAUCACGAGGACUUCUGCUAGAGCAACGCCGCCGGUUUCGCCACACUCCAUCUGGUUGGUGCAAUGGGGCAGAAGAACUAGGCAUGCCCAGCACAAUCUCUCCUGUCACAUCUGCUUGCCUGCCCAGAGGGUCCUUUCUGCCGUGCAUACUGCGUCAGCUCUGCACCAACGAUUCAGCAGCGAGCAAGACAAGACCUGGGCCCUUCUCUCCACGAGCUGAUACCAUUUCGUGAGGAGUCGGAAAAGUAAAUAAACAAGAAAAUACCGUACAAGUAGAGGGUGAUAAUCCCAGUGGUAGGGGUGCACCCUGGGAGCAUGGAGGAGGUGCGUCUAACCAACUAUCAACUGUAUCAUCAAGUGUCAAGAGUCAGGAAAUUCGGGGCGCCUGGCUGG